UACGUAGGGGGCAAGCGUUGUCCGGAAUCAUUGGGCGUAAAGAGCGUGUAGGCGGCUUGGUAGGUCCGCUGUGAAAACUCGAGGCUCAACCUCGAGAUGUCGGCGGAAACCACUUGGCUAGAGUCCGGAAGAGGAGAGUGGAAUUCCUGGUGUAGCGGUGAAAUGCGCAGAUAUCAGGAAGAACACCUAUGGCGAAGGCAGCUCUCUGGGACGGUACUGACGCUGAGACGCGAAAGCGUGGGGAGCGAACAGG
rnacentral:rRNA from 1 species